GCNAGUCGAGCGGANAGAUGGGAGCUUGCUCCCUGAUGUUAGCGGCGGACGGGUGAGUAACACGUGGGUAACCUGCCUGUAAGACUGGGAUAACUCCGGGAAACCGGGGCUAAUACCGGAUGNUUGUUUGAACCGCAUGGUUCAGACAUAAAAGGUGGCUUCGGCUACCACUUACAGAUGGACCCGCGGCGCAUUAGCUAGUUGGUGAGGUAACGGCUCACCAAGGCGACGAUGCGUAGCCGACCUGAGAGGGUGAUCGGCCACACUGGGACUGAGACACGGCCCAGACUCCUACGGGAGGCAGCAGUAGGGAAUCUUCCGCAAUGGACGAAAGUCUGACGGAGCAACGCCGCGUGAGUGAUGAAGGUUUUCGGAUCGUAAAGCUCUGUUGUUAGGGAAGAACAAGUGCCGUUCAAAUAGGGNGGCACCUUGACGGUACCUAACCAGAAAGCCACGGCUAANUACNUGCCANCAGCCGCGGUANUACNUAGGUGGCAAGCGUUGUCCGGAAUUAUUGGGCGUAAAGGGCUCGCANGCGGUUUC
rnacentral:rRNA from 1 species